rnacentral:sRNA from 1 species
GCUGGGUGGCUUGGCAUAUGCCUGUAGCCCUAGAUACUUGGGAGGCCAAGGUGGGACAAUCACUUGAGCCCAGGAGUAUAAGGUCAGUCUGGGCAACAUAGUGAAACCCUAUCUUAA